GAGAGAGCAGAGGGAUUGCCUCAGUAACGGCGAGUGAAGCGGCAACAGCUCAAAUUUGAAAUCUGGCCCCCCGGCCCGAGUUGUAAUUUGCAGAGGAUGCUUCUGGCGCGGUGCCUUCCAAGUCCCCUGGAACGGGGCGCCAUAGAGGGUGAGAGCCCCGUCUGGUUGGCCGCCAAGCCUGUGUGAAGCUCCUUCGACGAGUCGAGUAGUUUGGGAAUGCUGCUCUAAACGGGAGGUAGACCCCUUCUAAAGCUAAAUACCGGCCAGAGACCGAUAGCGCACAAGUAGAGUGAUCGAAAGAUGAAAAGCACUUUGAAAAGAGGGUUAAACAGUACGUGAAAUUGUUGAAAGGGAAGCGCUUGUGACCAGACGUGCGCCGGGUGUUCAGCGGGCGUUUUCGCCCGUGCAUUCGCCCCGGCGCAGGCCAGCGUCGGUUCGGGCGGGGGGAUAAAGGCGUCAGGAACGUAUCUCCCCCGGGAGUGUUAUAGCCUGGCGCGUCAUGCCCCCGCCUGGACCGAGGUUCGCGCUCCGCAAGGACGCUGGCGUAAUGGUCCCCAGCGGCCCGUCUUGAAACACGGACCAAGGAGUCGAGGUUUUACGCGAGUGUCUGGGUGUCAAACCCGCACGCGUAAUGAAAGUGAACGUAGGUGGGAGCUUCGGCGCACCACCGACCGAUCCUGAUGUUUUCGGAUGGAUUUGAGUAGGAGCGUAGGGCCUCGGACCCGAAAGAUGGUGAACUAUACUUGGAUAGGGUGAAGCCAGAGGAAACUCUGGUGGAGGCUCGCAGCGGUUCUGACGUGCAAAUCGAUCGUCAAAUCUGAGUAUGGGGGCGAAAGACUAAUCGACCAUCAG
rnacentral:rRNA from 1 species